CAAUAGCGUAUAUUAAAGUUGUUGCGGUUAAAAAGCUCGUAGUUGGAUUUCUGCCGAGGACGACUGGUCCGCCCUCUGGGUGAGCAUCUAGUUCGGCCUGGGCAUCUUCUUGGAGAACGUAGCUGCACUUGACUGUGUGGUGCGGUAUCCAGGACUUUUACCUUGAGGAAAUUAGAGUGUUUCAAGCAGGCACACGCCUUGAAUACAUUAGCAUGGAAUAAUAAGAUAGGACCUUGGUUCUAUUUUGUUGGUUUCUAGAGCUGAGGUAAUGAUUAAUAGGGAUAGUUGGGGGCAUUCGUAUUUAACUGUCAGAGGUGAAAUUCUUGGACCUUCGGAGACUAACAACUGCGAAAGCAUUUGUCCAAGGAUGUUCUCUUUAAUCAAGAACGAAAGUUAGGGGAGUCGAAGAUGAU
rnacentral:rRNA from 1 species